rnacentral:lncRNA from 1 species
GGAAUUUGGUAUAAUCCAAAACUACCCUAUGUUUUACUUGUCAGUGUCUUAAUUUGGAAUACUUUUCAUUUACCUCUGUUUGGACAUAAGCCCAAUGAGAUCUUCUACCAAUAUCCUCUUCAAGUUAGGCAUUCUUAUCCACCACUAUAUUUCAAAUGGACUUCCACAUAAAAGGUACUCAAUAAACGUGUGCUGAAUGAACAAAUGAGCAAAGUGUGGGGAAAUAAUAAUGUUUAGCCUGAGGAGAAAUGGAAGAUAAAAGAGCAGUUUUCAUAUAACAAAAGAUCUAUAUCAAAAAAGGAGACUUAUUUCUGUUUUCUCCAGAGAGAUGAUGUAGGAUGAAACGGCGAACAUUUCAAGAAAAAAAGGUCUGGGCUCACCAUUAGGGAACAUCUUCUCAGUCACAGGACUGUCUGAAUUGACAAGGGCUCCUUAUUAGUCACAAAAAGAUUUCUAGGAGUAGGAAGCUCUGUCCAUAAGUUAUCAGUUAACCUAAAUAUCCUCUGCUUUAUUUAUUCAUUUGUCUUUUUAGGGCUGCACUUGUAGCAUAUGGAGGUUCCUGGGCUAGGGGUCUAAUAGGAGCUAUAGCUGUCGGUCUACACCACAGCCACAGCAGCGCACGAUCUGAGUCACGUCUGCGACCUACACCACAGCUCAGGGCAAUGCCAGAUCCUUAACCCACUGAGCAAGGCCAGGGAUCGAAUGCACAACCUCAUGGCUCCUGGUCAGAUUCGUUUCCGCUGCGCCACGAUGGGAACUCCCAGAAUCUCCCAUGAUUUAAAGUGCAUUAACAGUAUCAUAAAACUACACAUGAAGAUUGAAAGUGAUCUAGGUGGUUGCUCAGAGAUGGUGUCUUAAAAGACAGUAAAGAAAAAAAAAUCAGUACAAAUUGGAUUCUGCAUGAAGUAAGGAGGGAGGAAGAAGAAAAAGUCCUCAUAAUCUUUUUUUUCAGUGAGCAUUUAGUAAAUACACAGAACUAUAAGCUGGAGAUGGAGGAGGAUACUAUUAUUAAUGAAAUUGAUAACAAAACAAAAGGAGAUGGCCAAUUUAAGUAAUGAAUUGAUAACAAUGAAUUCCCUUUGUAAUGGUUAGGGUUCCACUUUUUAUGAGAAAACCAGAAUUAAAAAAAAAAAGCAAAGUACAUGUGACUGGAGAAUAGGUACAAGGCCAGAUUUAGAUACCUUCAUUUCAGAAUACUUGCUAAAAGAAUGGUAUCCUCAAUCCCUGAGAAUGGAUCAGCUUUCUGCAGAAAUAUUUAAAGGGAACGAUAAAUUAAGGACAGGAAGAGCAUUAAAAUUAUAGUUCUGCAAGGAUCAUUUUUAAAUGCCAUCCAAUCAUUCAUUCAUCCUUGGGCAAAAGUCCACUUAAACAAAAAUCCAAAGGUCAUUAUCUUUUAUUCUCAUAAACAUCUCCACUAAAAGGCAUUCUUAAAAAUCUUCCUGCAAAACAUGUUUCAAACACUAAAGAUAUCUGUAUUAAAAACCUUUCUAUUUUAAAUGUAGUUAUGGAACACAAAUGGUAACAUUUAUUAUAUUAAAUGCUGUCAAAUAAUCAUAUAUUGAGUUAUAUUUUGAUUUGCCUAAGGGAUAAACAGAACUUAAACACUUUUUUUUCUUGGCCUUUUAAAAAUUUAUAAUUUCUAGAAUAAGCUUAUAGCAUAAGCUUAUUAGAAAAUGGCAUAUUCUCUUUUGACAAGUCCAAAGUAUCAAUCUGUAUUGCAUCAAAUUAAGUAUUUCUCAAGUGGUGAAAAAAAGCUUCUGCAUUUCCAUAAAUGCCCCAGUAUUGUAAAAUAAACAUUAUCUUUCUGCAUCAACUUAAGACAUUAUAAUUCAUGAAAUUUAAAUUAUGAAGAUCUAGUUGUUGUUUUCCUCCCAAGUCGUGAUUUUUUGUUGCAGUUAUUAUUCUCUUUUCAACCUUACCCAAUCAUAAACAAGGCAAAAACAAUCAUAGAAAUUAAAGAAAAACUAAGUUUAUAGACUGUAUAGCAUCUUUCUAAUUUAGCCACUUGAAGGUAUGGAAACCACAAAGUUAGUAAAUAUUUUAUUAUUAGUAAUCAGGAAGUAAAAGGAGAGGAAAAAUGCUAAACAUGCUUAUGAAAAUAUUAAAUUCCUAAAAUUGUGUUUAGAAGAAAUCAACUUAAGUGGUAAGGUAAGCUAUAUUUCAAAUUAAUGGUCUACUGCUAUAAAAAUAACAGCUAUAAUCCAAUCAAAGGCCUACAUUCAGUUAUUCUACAAGCAAGCAUAAAAAGAACUGGAUGACUGCCCUUUGCGUAUACUAGAGGAAAUUGUAUUCUACCAAUAUCCUAAAACAUUUAUGUUAUAUACAUGCUCUAGUAAAUGUCAGCAUAAUAUAAUGUAUGGAAAAGAGUUAAUAUAGCAGGCCUGAGACUGCCUAUCCUUAGAACAGCCUCCUUGCAAGGCUGGCCCUUGGCCAGCUCCUGGGAACUUGGCUGAUAAACAAGUCUGGGAUUUUGGUAAGUGCUAGGCAGAGGAUGCUUACGUGACCAGCCCUGAGUAAAAUCCUUGAGUGAUAAGUCUCUAAUGAGAUUCACUGGUACAUAACACUUUGCACGUGUUGUCACAAGUCACUAGAGGAAUUAAGUGUUUAACUGUGUGACUCCUCUGGGAGGGGACUCUUAAAAGCUUCUGUCUGAUUCCCUUUGCUAAUUUUGCUUUAUAUCCUUUUGCUGUAAUAAAUCUUAUCCAUGAAUAUAACAAUACACUAAAUCUUAUGAAUCCUUACAACAAAACACCAAACCUGAGGAUAGUCUUGGGGAACAAUGACAAAGACAGUUUGAGACUGUUUGACUACUAAACAUCAAUUCCCUGGAUUUACACAUUAAAGAUGUUUAUCACAUUUGCAGGUGGGAAAUGUUUAAUGAAUAUAUUGGAAGAUACAAUGAAGUUUCAAAAAGGCUGGAACAACAGAGCCAACUCUAAUGAGAUAAAUUUUAAAGGAGAUAAAGACUGUGUAAAAUAGUGUUUAAAAAAACAGACUACUCUACCUGUAGGCAGAAGGAACAUGUAUGAAAAAGACCAAGGAGUUUAUUGAAAAUAAACUCAAUACGUUAAGUGGUAAAAUGUAACUAUUAGAGAUAUCUAAUUUACUUCUGUGCUGAAUAAAAAGCAGUAUGGUAUAUAAACCAAAGGGAAAUAAUAACCCCAUUCUCCUGUUAAUUUUCAUAUCACAUAUAGAACAUUAUAUUCAUCCAUUUAAAGAAUAUAUUAGAGCACAUUCAUAG